rnacentral:rRNA from 1 species
GAGCUUGGCGGUGUUUUAGACCUCUCAGGGGAAUCUGUCUCAUAAUCGACAAUCCACGUUAAACCUAACCUUUGAUAGCAAUUCAGCCUGUAUACCGUUGUCGUAAGGUAACUUCUUAAAAUACAGUAGUUAGCUUGAAAAUUUUAUUAAUUAAAACGUCAAAUCAAGGUGCAGCUAAUAAAAAGGUGAAGAUGGGUUACAAUUACAUAUUUGUAAAUACGGAUAAACAUUUGAAAGAAUGUCUUAAAGGAGGACUUGAAAGUAAUUUUAAUUAUAUAAACAAAAUGAAUGAGGCUCUGAAACGUGCACACAUCGCCCGUCGCUCUCGUUGAAAAAUGAGAUAAGUCGUAACAUAGUAGGGGUAAUGGAAAUUGUUCCUAGGC